UCUAUCUUCUACCAUUCAUUAAAUUUUUUUUGCUUUCAGAUUUGGUGAGGCGCUGGGCUCAAGAAAGAGAGACGUCAGAACUCAGAAGAAUGCCUUUCCUCCUCUCCUUCUUUCAAUGGCCGUCUCUCUCGCCCAGAAAGCCCUCUUCAUCUCUUGUUGUUCCUAUUCUUUAUCACUAAGGAUGCCAUUUUCCCUCCCCCAUCUUGCAUUUUUCCGAUCGACAACAGCAAAAAUCCAAGAUAUGGUAUGAAAUUUGGAGAUUUCUCCAUCAUCCUCAUGCUAUUUUGUCCAAAAAUUCAGAUUCUCUCAAAAAACUGCUAAUGUGGUAGUAUGGAUCAACAUUAUUCCCAGCCUGUUUUGCAUAAUAUUGGUGAAUAUUUUGACUUAUGGUGGCCUUCCUUUUUUCCACCUCCAGCAUCAGUACACAUGAGGUGAUAAGAGGUUCAUGGAGGAUGAUUAAAAAUUGUGGCGAAACCCCUGCCAUAUUGUGAAAUUUUUCAUAGUGAUGAUUAAAAAUAUCUUAGAGAAACUAGAUAUUUUUUUCAUAGUGAACUUCUUUUUCCAAGGUUCUCUAUACUGAGCUGACGAACAUUAUGAUUUGUUAUCUAACAUUCGGCAGUUAGUUAAGAUUCGAGAGUUGAAACAAAGAAGUUGGGACUACUAGCUGAGCCAUAUUUGGAGGGAGAGCAAUCAACGUGUAGAUUGGUUGGUCAAAUGCAGCAUAUGAUCCAUCCAGGUUAUAAGUUCCCGAGAGGUGCAAGAUUUGUUAGAAGUGGAUUUGUUAGGAGUUGUAUAUCAUCAUUUUGUUUUUAUUUAAGAGGUUGUGACCUCUUCCAAUGCACCAAAAUAAAUACAUAAAAAGGUUCCUUUACGAUAUGUAUCCUUGGUGCUUCUUGUAGGAUUUUUUUUUCCUUUUGAUUGGCCUUAUCCCAUAAUGUUGUAAAACUGCUCUGGCUGCAAAAGUGUACAGAAAUUCUGAGGUUGCUUUCCUCAAAACUCAAAAGACAGGAAUAUGUUAAGAAUGGGUUUGGAAUUAUUUUAAGUAACGCAGAUAUCUUACAAUGGUAUAUGUCC